rnacentral:lncRNA from 1 species
GUUAACUCUUAAACAAAAUAUAAUACGUUAAAUAAUGAUAAAAAUAAUAAAGAACAUAAUAAAAUAAUAACUAGGACAGGUCAUAGUCAACCUCUUCACAACACUAAUACGGCAUUGGCUGCAGAAGCGUAUGAGAAAGAUAUAAGAGUGAACUGGAACACGACAAAAAUAAUUAAACCAGUACACAACAAAGCACAAGCCAGGCUAGUAGAAACCAUCGAAAUAGUCAAAGCAAAGAAGAAAGGUAGAAUCCUUAAAAAAACACGGCAGUAGACCUGCCCCCCGCCUGGCAAUACCUUCUUAAUGAACAAAGGAAGUAGAACCCGCCUUUUCGAAUACUAUGAUUAAAGUUAUACACUCUUACCAACAAUAAAGAACAUGGACCUCAUCGUAUAAACUUUAUAAUUGGUUAAUGUGUCUAAUUGUAUGAGCACACUGUAACCAUAAGUAUUUUUUUUGUGUAAUGGAUGCUACUUUGCACACAUGGAAGAAUGCCCUGCAGCAAUGAUACCCAAUGUGCACCUUUGUUUAUUUAUUAUUUGUUUCAUCUUUAUUAUUUAUUAAUUACCUUUCAAGGUUACCAUGACAAUAAUUUAUAUUCUAGUUUGUUUGUUCUUAAAUUCAUUGUUGUUUUUUUUGUUGAUGGCCUGAAGAUGGCAAAAAAAUUGUA